rnacentral:rRNA from 1 species
GACGGCGGUGUUUGGCACCUCGAUGUCGGCUCAUCACAUCCUGGGGCUGAAGUAGGUCCCAAGGGUAUGGCUGUUCGCCAUUUAAAGUGGUACGCGAGCUGGGUUUAGAACGUCGUGAGACAGUUCGGUCCCUAUCUGCCGUGGGCGCUGGAGAACUGAGGGGGGCUGCUCCUAGUACGAGAGGACCGGAGUGGACGCAUCACUGGUGUUCGGGUUGUCAUGCCAAUGGCACUGCCCGGUAGCUAAAUGCGGAAGAGAUAAGUGCUGAAAGCAUCUAAGCACGAAACUUGCCCCGAGAUGAGUUCUCCCUGACUCCUUGAGAGUCCUGAAGGAACGUUGAAGACGACGACGUUGAUAGGCCGGGUGUGUAAGCGCAGCGAUGCGUUGAGCUAACCGGUACUAAUGAACCGUGAGGCUUAACCUUACAACGCCGAAGCUGUU